rnacentral:rRNA from 1 species
AUUGAACGCUGGCGGCAGGCUUAACACAUGCAAGUCGAGCGGAGCGAGGGUGCUUGCACCUUAGCUUAGCGGCGGACGGGUGAGUAAUGCUUAGGAAUCUGCCUAUUAGUGGGGGACAACAUUCCGAAAGGAAUGCUAAUACCGCAUACGCCCUACGGGGGAAAGCAGGGGAUCUUCGGACCUUGCGCUAAUAGAUGAGCCUAAGUCGGAUUAGCUAGUCGGUGGGGUAAAGGCCUACCAAGGCGACGAUCUGUAGCGGGUCUGAGAGGAUGAUCCGCCACACUGGGACUGGAACACGGCCCAGACUCCUACGGGAAGCAGCAGUGGGGAAUAUUGGACAAUGGGCGGAAGCCUGAUCCAGCCAUGCCGCGUGUGUGAAGAAGGCCUUAUGGUUGUAAAGCACUUUAAGCGAGGAGGAGGCUCUUUUGGUUAAUACCCAAGAUGAGUGGACGUUACUCGCAGAAUAAGCACCGGCUAACUCUGUGCCAGCCGCCGCCGUAACAC